rnacentral:rRNA from 1 species
UGCGAACUCCUACGGGAGGCAGCAGUGAGGAAUAUUGGUCAAUGGGCGGAAGCCUGAACCAGCCAAGUAGCGUGCAGGAAGACGGCCCUAUGGGUUGUAAACUGCUUUUAUACGAGAAUAAUUUGAUGCACGUGUGCGUUAUUGCAUGUAUCGUAUGAAUAAGGACCGGCUAAUUCCGUGCCAGCAGCCGCGGUAAUACGGAAGGUCCAGGCGUUAUCCGGAUUUAUUGGGUUUAAAGGGAGUGUAGGCGGUUUGUUAAGCGUGUUGUGAAAUUUAGGUGCUCAACAUUUAACUUGCAGCGCGAACUGUCAGACUUGAGUACACGCAACGUAUGCGGAAUUCAUGGUGUAGCGGUGAAAUGCUUAGAUAUCAUGAAGAACUCCGAUUGCGAAGGCAGCAUACGGGAGUGUAACUGACGCUUAAGCUCGAAGGUGCGGGUAUCGAACAGGAUUAGAUACCCUUGUAGUCCUGAGU